ensembl:snRNA U6 U6 spliceosomal RNA
GUGCUCACUUUGGCAAUAGAUAUACUAAAAUUGGAACAAUACAUAGAAAAUUAGCACGCCCCCUGUACAAGGACAACACACAUAAAGAUAAUGAAGUAUGGCCUUCACCAGUCUUUU